CAUGACUUUGGCCGACUAGCCGACUAGCCGAUUAGUCGGUUGCAAAGAAGCCGACUAAUCGGCCGACUAGUCGGCCAAGCCGAUCAUGGUUUCGGAAGUUUCCGUAACGCUUUUUUACUGCUAUUUCGCGGGUAAGUCGCACACGCCGCAUGCAAACGUUUCGAAUCGUGUUAAGUAUGUUUGCUU